GAAAGAAGAGUGUAAAAUAAAAAAAACCGGCGCUAAUGUGUUUAUAUAGCCAGUGAACCGGACCGGUCCAGGACCGGUCCAAUCUCCUUCAUUCCUGGCCGUUGGAUCUAGGGUUUCCUACCCUGGAUCAAUCCAACGUCUCCUGUGCAAUCUGAGUUUUGUGUGUUGGGCUUUGGGUUGGGCUUAGGCUUCUUGCGCGCUUUUGCUUAUUUUCCUGCUAUUUGCACCAUGUUUCUUUGCUGUUUGAACCCCUGCAUGCUUAAAUUUUCUCUAAAAAAAAUCUCCAAAAAUUAUCACAUGUUUCUUGAUGUAUUUUCCUUUUUUUUUAUAUUUCUCAAUGGUUUUAAAAUGAUAAAAAAAAAAGCAUGUGAUAUUUCUUGGGUAAUUAGUGUAUUAGACAAAAAUUUGUGCAUUUUUUAGUAGUGUAUUUCUCAUGAAAUGUUGGCAUGUGAUAUGAAUUUUUGGGAAUGCAAUUUUGUGAUAAGUUUGUUGCUGAUUACAUGUUUAAUUUGCUGCUUGUGUAUCUCAAUUUCAUCUCCCUUUUUGUUCUGCAAUUAGUAUGCAUUUUUACUAGUAAAUAAAGUGCCAAAAUAUUUUGAAAGUGUACCAUAAACUUAGCAUCAAAUAUGUCCCAUUUUUUUUCACAUUAGGGCACAAAGCAAGACUUCUAAAAAUGUCAUAAUGAAGGGAUUAUGGGUCAUAUAUAUGCUAGAGCCUUAUGACCAUUUUCAUGCACAUUUUGUCACUUUAUUAGUUUCUUUUAUGUCUUUCCUCUUAAUAUUUUUGUGCACUUGUUUUAUUCUAUGCUUUAUUUUACUAAUCAUCUCACUUCUUUUGUUCCAUUCAUUUCAUGAGCAUUUGUCCAUUUCACCACUAUCUCCUCCACUUUGUUCAGCUUAGCAUUUAUUUUUGCAAAUUUUAAUUCAUUUGGUGAUGUAAUUUGCUAUCAUUGGUAUGUAGCUUGGCAAAGGGGCCAUAGAAUGUAUUUAGGCAAUUUUUGUAAUAUGGACUAUGGACACUAUGGCGCACCGGCACGCACACACUCACCCUAGAUGUAUGCCUAGGAUUGCAUGGUUAGAUGAAUGCUUAGGUUUAAACACUUAGAGAAAAUCCAACUUUUUUCCAAAAAAUAUGCAAACAAAUUCACUUCAAAUAUUUUUUUUCAUAAGAAAUGGAGUCAAAACUCCAAUAAUUUUUCCCUUUUUUUUUUUUAAUCAAAUUCUCAAAUAAACCUAAUCAUUAAGACUUCUUUUGCAAAAUCACUAAGCAAACCCUCACUUUUUCAUACUCUAAUGCUCAUGAAGCCUCUCAAUCCCCUUCUUCAAAUCAUUUUCAAAAUUUAAAAUCAAACAAUUAAAACAAAAAACCACAAGUCUUUUUAGCAAGAACUACGCCGGUUUUGAUCCCGUAAAACGGUACGUAGGCAAGGGACUUUAAACCCUCCAAGCCGAAAUAAAAUCAAAUUCUACUUCUUCUCACCCCCAUUCUUCACUAAUCACACCUUCUUUUUUUACAAGUAGGCAAUAAAAAAUAAAGCGUAGAAAUCAACUUAGGAGAACGGCUCUUAUGGAAUACCAUAAUCGUUCCGGGUGCCUAACACCUUCCCGUAGCGAAAACGACCCCCGAACUUAGAAUCUAAGGGUUUUUCUCAAUUUUGCCCUUCCCAAGAAAAAAUAGAGAAUAUCAACGGUCAAAAGGUUCAAGUCCAAUUAAUGGCUUGGCACCCAAAAACCAUGAUAACAGAAAUGGCGACUUCACUGGGGACAUUUUUUUAGCGGGUCGCGCCUAGUUUUCCUUAGUUUAUAUUUACGCUUUGUUUUAUUGCUUACAUAUGUGAAUACUUGUUUACUUUCAUUUGACGUGUGGGGUGAGAAUAUCAAAAGUCCUAUACCCGGGCUGAGUGAACUUAUGUUUAGGUAGAGAUAUAAUCGACAAUUCGGUCCGGGGGUUGCCUCGUGUAUUGGAUUAUGCGAUCAAUCUCACAUAGCUGAGGCAUUUUGAAGGUGAUAUUGUCGGCGUGUGUUGUCAUGCUUAGGCACUUCACUUUCAAUUGUUCGACGAAGCUAUGAACCGUAGUUACCAAACCCAUCCUAGCCUUUUUAGGACGUAGUGCGGUGGCUAAAUUGAGUGUUGUCUCAAACUUUAGUCGUCACGCGAUACUACACUCAAACUAGACCUUCUCACAAAUAAUCAUGGAACGGGUGUCGUCCUGUACUACCAUGAUAUAUGUGAGAGAGGUUGCAGUUUGGGAACUGUGUUAGAACCUUGGUUACUACUAUCCAAAGCCUUAGUUCACCGGACGCCGUGUCCAUCCGUGGCCCUGUUACUUUGAAUCUCAACCCACCUUGUUCUUUGUAACUAAACAACACAAUCAUGCAUACAUGCAUUCAUGCAUAAACAUUUUUCAUGCAUUCAUCGAAGGGCUUAAACAAAUGGAAAUUUUUGUAAAUAAUCACAGGUAUGAAGAAGACUAAGUGCUACAAGUUCAAGGAAGUGGAUUUGGUCAGUUUAAGAGAGUUGGCACUCAAGGUCAAGAGUCAAACAGGGUUCCGACUCCGGUAUGGGGGAUUGCUUACUUUGCUCCGAACCGAUGUGGAAGAGAAGUUAGUGCACACUCUAGUGCAAUUUUAUGAUCCGAGCUUCCGUUGCUUCACUUUCCCGGACUUCCAGUUGGUUCCUACUCUCGAGGCUUACUCCAAUCUAGUGGGUUUACCUAUAGCCGAGAAGACGCCUUUCACCGGUCCCGGGACUUCUCUUACUCCUUUGGUUAUUGCUAAGGAUCUCUACCUCAAGACUUCCGACGUCUCCAACCAUCUUAUUACCAAGUCUCACAUCCGGGGGUUCACUUCAAAGUAUCUUCUUGAGCAGGCUAAUCUCAGUACUACUCGUCAGGAUACACUCGAGGCUAUUCUUGCUUUGCUUAUCUACGGGCUCAUUCUCUUUCCGAACCUUGAUAACUUCGUGGACAUGAAUGCUAUCGAGAUCUUUCAUUCCAAGAACCCGGUUCCUACUUUGCUAGCGGAUACCUACCACGCCAUUCAUGACAGGACUCUCAAGGGCCGUGGGUAUAUUCUUUGCUGCAUAUCUCUUUUGUAUAGGUGGUUUAUUUCGCACCUUCCGAGUUCCUUCCAUGACAACUCGGAGAACUGGUCCUACUCGCAGCGGAUUAUGGCCCUCACUCCUAAUGAGGUCGUCUGGCUCACUCCUGCCGCUCAGGUGAAGGAAAUCAUUAUGGGUUGUGGGGACUUUCUCAAUGUACCCCUUCUUGGUACUCGUGGAGGAAUCAACUACAAUCCCGAGCUUGCUAUGAGACAGUUUGGUUUCCCUAUGAAGUCGAAGCCCAUCAAUCUUGCUACAUCUCCAGAGUUCUUCUUCUACACGAAUGCUCCUACCGGACAAAGGAAAGCUUUCAUGGAUGCUUGGUCCAAGGUUCGAAGGAAGAGUGUGAAGCAUCUAGGUGUGAGAUCCGGUAUUGCUCACGAGGCCUAUACUCAGUGGGUGAUAGAUCGAGCUGAGGAGAUUGGUAUGCCUUACCCAGCUAUGAGAUACGUGUCUUCAUCUACCCCAUCUAUGCCUCUACCUCUACUCCCCGCGACUCAGGAUAUGUAUCAGGAGCAUCUAGCUAUGGAGAGUCGUGAGAAGCAAGUGUGGAAAGCUCGGUACAAUCAAGCUGAGAAUCUAAUCAUGACUUUGGAUGGUAGAGACGAGCAGAAGACUCAUGAGAACCUGAUGUUGAAGAAGGAAUUAGCUAAGGUCCGGAGGGAAUUGGAAGAGAAAGACGAGCUGCUUAUGAGGGAUUCCAAGAGAGCCAGAGGACGGCGAGACUUCUUUGCCAGAUACUGUGAUUCAGAUUCCGAGUCCGAUGAUCCUCCGACUACUUCCUAUGCUUGAGGGCUUCAUUUGUUUAUCUUGUUGAAAUUUCAAAGUCUUCCUUUUAAAAAUACUAUGUAGUUUUGAUUAUCUGCAAGAUUUCUAAUUUGUUUAAAAAUCCUUCGAUGAAAAAAGAAGUCUUUCGCAUUUGCAUUUGCAUAUCAUGCAUCAUAUGCAUCAUGCAUUGGUCACAAAGGCUUCCAAGUGCUCACUAUCUCCUGGUUCCUCUGCCGCAGUGUGAAAAGUGGCUCGUGCUCAGAAGGUCUACGAACCUGAUAGAAUUGAUCGAACCAGAGAAUACAGAAGAAAGAAAAAGGCUAUGGAAGAAGAGAACACGCAGCUCCGUACCGAAUUGGCAUCUCUAAGGGAGGAAUUGGCCAAAGCUCAUGAUGCUAUGACUGCUCUGUUGGCUGCUCAAGAACAACCAACUCCUGUAGUUUCUGCAGCUGCAAAUGUGACUCCUACCGUAACAACUGAUCCCCGCUUUAUCAUGCCAUCUGGGUAUCCUUACGGACUUCCGCCGUACUAUACUGCUAAUACAGGGGCAGGCACCUCUGGUACUACCAACAAUGGCCCAAUUUCAGGGGCAAACUUGACUCCUGUUAGUACCGCCUUGACUCAAGCCGCAACAACUGUUACCGAGCCCAUUGUGAAUACGGUGCCUCAAUUUGUCCAUGUUAAUGCGCACCACGGGAGUAUUGCCGCAACCGAAACUAUGGAAGAGAGAAUGGAAGAACUUGCCAAAGAGCUCCGACGGGAAAUUAAGGCCAACAGGGGAAACGGAGACUCCAUUAAAACCCAGGAUCUCUGCUUAGUAUCGAAGGUAGAUGUUCCAAAAAAGUUCAAAGUCCCGGAGUUCGACAAGUAUAACGGGCUGACUUGUCCUCAAAAUCAUAUUGUCAAAUAUGUCCGGAAAAUGGGCAACUACAAGGACAAUGAUUCCCUUAUGAUCCAUUACUUCCAAGGCAGUCUGAUGGAGGAUGCUGCAGAGUGGUAUACUAGUCUGAGCAAAGAUGAUGUCCACACUUUUGAUGAGCUAGCAGCCGCUUUCAAAAGCCAUUAUGGGUUCAACACAAGAUUGAAGCCAAAUAGGGAGUUUCUCAGGUCCCUGUCUCAGAAGAAGGAGGAAAGUUUCCGUGAAUAUGCGCAAAGGUGGAGAGGGGCAGCUGCCCGUAUCACUCCUGCUUUAGAUGAAGAAGAAAUGACUCAGACAUUUCUGAAGACUCUCAAGAGAGAUUAUGUUGAAAGGAUGAUUAUCGCAGCACCAAACAAUUUCUCAGAGAUGGUUACCAUGGGAACACGUCUGGAAGAAGCUGUUCGGGAAGGCAUCAUUGUGUUUGAGAAGAUUGAGUCAUCUGCAAAUGCUGCGAAGAGAUACGGUAAUGGACAUCACAAGAAGAAAGAUACGGAGGUGGGAAUGAUAGCCGCUGGAACUAAUCCAUCCAAGGCUACUGUUGCUCCUGUCAAUGCUGCUCAGUUUCCCCCGUCCUACCCUUAUGCACCGUACUCUCAGCAUCCGUUCUUCCCACCGUUUUAUCAUCAGUACCCUUUGCCACCGGGCCAACCUCAGGUCCCUGUCAAUGCCAUCGCUCAACAGGUGCAACAUCAACCGCCAGUUCAACAGCAGCAGCAGCAAUAUGCUAGACCAACUUUUCCUCCUAUACCAAUGUUGUAUGCAGAACUUCUUCCAACUUUACUCCAGAGAGGACACUGCACGACUAGGCAGGGCAAGCCUCCACCGGACCCUUUACCUCCAAGGUUCCGCUCUGAUCUUAAGUGUGACUUCCAUCAAGGCGCUUUAGGGCAUGAUGUUGAGGGGUGCUAUGCUCUAAAGUACAUCGUCAAGAAGCUUAUAGAUCAAGGGAAGUUAACUUUUGAGAACAAUGUGCCACAUGUCCUCGAUAAUCCGCUCCCAAAUCAUGCUGCCGUGAAUAUGAUUGAGAUAUGUGAAGAGGUUCCCAUGCUGGAUGUCCGCAAUGUUGCAACUCCUCUGGUGCCACUCCAUAUCAAGUUGUGCCAGGCUUUAUUGUUUGAACAUGAUCAUGCUGAGUGCCAAGAAUGUUCCCGCAAUCCUUUGGGUUGCCAUGUCGUCCAAAACGAUGUCCAGAGCUUGAUGGACGGCAAUUACCUUACUGUCAGUGAUGUUUGCGUAAUUGUGCCGGUCUUUCACGAUCCGCCUGUUAAGAGGGUGCCUUUGAGGGAGAGCGUUGAGCCGUUGGUGAUAAGGUUGCCAGGACCAAUUCCUUAUGUUUCGGACAAGGCUGUUCCAUACAAAUACAAUGCUACUAUGAUAGAAAAUGGAGUAGAGGUGCCUCUAGCCUCCUUUGCCACAGUAAGCAAUAUUGCCGAAGGGACUUCUGCAGCGCUAAGAAGCGGGAAGGUCCGUCCGCCGUUAUUUCAGAAGAAGGUAGCUACGCCAACCACUCCACCAGUUGAAGAAGCAACUCCAACCGUUGUUUCACCCAUUGCUAUAGAUGUGAACCAGCCAGGCAAAUCUAUAGAGGAUUCGAAUUUAGAUGAGAUUCUGAGGAUAAUAAAGAGGAGCGACUACAAGAUCGUUGAUCAAUUGCUGCAAACUCCUUCAAAGAUAUAUGUCUUGUCGUUACUCUUGAGCUCUGAGGCUCACAGGAAUACCUUGUUGAAAGUGUUGGAGCAGGCUUAUGUUGACCACGAGGUCACGGUAGAUCGUUUCGGUGGCAUAGUGGGAAAUAUUACUGCUUGUAACAACCUCUAGUUUAGUGAAGAAGAGUUGCCGGAAGUGGGAAAGAGUCACAAUCUGGCUUUGCACAUCUCGGUGAAUUGCAAAUCAGACAUGAUAUCAAAUGUGUUAGUGGAUACCGGUUCCUCCCUCAAUGUAAUGCCCAAGUCAACUCUAGAUCAGUUGAGCUACCGAGGGACCCCUUUGAGGAGGAGUACUUUCUUGGUCAAAGCUUUUGACGGAUCUCGAAAGAAUGUGCUGGGGGAGAUAGACUUACCGAUAACCAUUGGCCCUGAGAAUUUCUUGAUUACCUUCCAAGUGAUGGACAUUAAUGCAUCCUACAGUUGUCUGCUGGGAAGACCGUGGAUACACGAUGCGGGUGUGGUAACCUCCACCUUACAUCAGAAGUUGAAGUUCAUAAGAAGUGGAAAGCUUGUUACCAUUCAUGGAGAAGAGGCAUACCUGGUUAGCCAGCUAUCAUCUUUCUCUUGCAUAGAGGCAGGGUCGGCAGAGGGGACCGCUUUUCAAGGAUUAACUGUCGAAGGUACGGAGCCCAAGAGGGAUGGAACUGCCAUGGCUUCUUUGAAGGAUGCACAGAGAGCCGUCCAAGAGGGUCAAGCUGCCGGCUGGGGCAAGUUAAUACAGCUUCGUGAGAACAAGCAUAAGGAAGGUCUUGGCUUUUCCCCAACUUCAGGAGUUUCCACCGGGGCAUUCUGUAGUGCUGGGUUUGUCAACGCAAUCACAGAAGAAGCAACUGGAUUUGGCCCGAGGCCUGUAUUUGUUACACCAGGAGGCUUUGCGAGAGAUUGGGAUGCCAUUGACAUUCCCUCAAUCAUGCAUGUUUCUGAGUAAUAUACCUUGUUGCUUAAGUAUCUUGUUUUUUCAAAAUAACAAUCCUCUCGCUCUGCCCAAAGCGAGAGUGAUAUUUUCUGUAAGGGCAUGUUUGUUUCGGCAUUGCCGUUGAUUAAUAAAAAUUGUCGUUUCUUUCACGACUGCUUUUUUAGUGCCUUUUUUCCCUUGGAAAUAAUGGUAAUGCCAGAAAAAACCAAAACAUCUGUAUUUUUCUUAUUAAUUUCAAAAAUCUGCAUAAAAACCCUCUUUCUAAAAUCAUCCAACCAUUUUACGCAGAUUGAACUAUAAUAAACCCGUUGGGCACAGUAACCCUGCAUUCCCUCCGAAUUUCGAGUUCCCAGUGUAUGAGGCCGAAGAUGAGGAAGGUGAUGACGUACCAUAUGAGAUCACUCGGUUACUUGAGCAAGAAAAGAAAGCCAUUCAGCCUCACCAGGAAGAGAUUGAGCUUAUCAACAUAGGUACCGAGGAGAACAAGCGAGAAAUCAAGAUCGGUGCUGCUCUAGAGGAAUGGGUUAAAAAGAAGAUCAUCCAACUCCUCCGGGAAUAUCCGGACAUUUUUGCAUGGUCGUAUGAAGAUAUGCCAGGUCUAGAUCCUAUGAUUGUGGAGCAUCGGAUUCCCACCAAGCCUGAAUGUCCUCCCGUCAGGCAGAAAUUGAGAAGGACUCAUCCAGACAUGGCUCUCAAGAUUAAGAGCGAGGUUCAAAAACAGAUUGAUGCGGGUUUCCUCAUGACAGUUGAGUACCCUGAAUGGGUUGCCAAUAUUGUACCUGUGCCAAAGAAGGAUGGUAAAGUCCGGAUGUGUGUUGACUUCAGAGACCUGAACAAAGCCAGUCCAAAAGACAACUUUCCAUUACCUCAUAUUGAUGUGCUUGUUGAUAAUACUGCUCAGUCUAAGGUGUUUUCCUUCAUGGACGGUUUCUCCGGUUACAAUCAGAUCAAAAUGUCUCCUGAAGAUAGAGAAAAGACGUCUUUUAUCACUCCAUGGGGUACUUUCUGCUACAAAGUGAUGCCGUUCGGCCUAAUAAAUGCUGGUGCUACCUACCAAAGAGGAAUGACUACUCUGUUUCAUGACAUGAUUCACAAAGAAGUCGAAGUAUAUGUGGAUGAUAUGAUUGUAAAGUCAACAGAUGAGGAGCAACAUGUUGAGUAUUUGACAAAGAUGUUUGAAAGGUUAAGAAAAUACAAGCUUCGAUUGAAUCCCAACAAAUGUAUAUUCGGCGUCAGAUCCGGGAAGUUAUUAGGCUUCAUUGUCAGCCAAAAGGGCAUUGAAGUCGAUCCUGAUAAAGUCCGGGCCAUCCGAGAAAUGCCAGCUCCACGGAUCGAGAAGCAAGUCAGAGGUUUCCUCGGACGUUUGAAUUACAUCUCCCGAUUCAUAUCUCACAUGACCGCAACCUGCGGGCCGAUCUUCAAGCUACUCAGAAAGAAUCAGUCUGUUGUAUGGAAUGAUGAAUGCCAAGAAGCUUUUGAUAGCAUCAAGAAUUACCUGCUGGAACCACCUAUCCUUGUCCCGCCCGUGGAAGGAAGGCCUUUGAUUAUGUAUUUGGCAGUAUUUGAUGAAUCCAUGGGAUGCGUACUUGGUCAACAAGAUGAGACUGGAAAGAAAGAACAUGCUAUCUACUAUCUAAGCAAGAAGUUCACCGAUUGUGAAACUCGGUAUACAAUGCUUGAGAAGACUUGUUGUGCUUUGGCCUGGGCCGCUAAACGCCUGCGUCAUUAUUUGGUGAAUCAUACAACUUGGUUGAUAUCCAGAAUGGAUCCGAUAAAGUAUAUCUUUGAGAAAGCUGCUGUUACUGGGAAGAUUGCACGAUGGCAGAUGCUUUUGUCUGAAUAUGAUAUUGUGUUCAAAACUCAAAAGGCAAUCAAAGGUAGCAUUCUUGCCGAUCACCUUGCUUACCAACCUCUUGACGAUUAUCAACCAAUUGAAUUCGACUUCCCCGAUGAAGAAAUCAUGUAUUUGAAAUCAAAAGACUGCGAAGAACCGUUGAUUAAUGAAGGUCCAGAUCCCAAUAGCAAGUGGGGUUUAGUCUUUGAUGGUGCUGUCAAUGCUUAUGGUAAAGGAAUUGGGGCAGUCAUUGUAUCCCCACAGGGGCAUCACAUCCCUUUUACCGCCAGAAUUCUGUUCGAAUGUACAAACAAUAUGGCUGAGUAUGAAGCAUGUAUCUUUGGGAUCGAGGAAGCAAUUGACAUGAGAAUCAAACACCUCGACAUCUAUGGAGAUUCUGCGCUCGUCAUCAAUCAGAUAAAGGGUGAAUGGGAGACCCACCAUGCUAAGUUGAUUCCUUAUCGUGAUUAUGCGAGACGUCUGCUGACAUAUUUUACAAAGGUUGAGCUGCACCAUAUUCCUCGUGAUGAGAACCAAAUGGCUGAUGCUCUUGCUACUCUAUCCUCCAUGUUUCGAGUAAACCAUUGGAAUGAUGUGCCAAUAAUCAAAGUGCAACACCUUGAAAGACCUUCACAUGUGUUUGCUAUUGGGGAUGUGAUCGAUCAGGCUGGUGAAAAUGUGGUUGACUAUAAACCCUGGUACUACGACAUCAAACAGUUCUUGCUGAGCCGUGAGUAUCCGCCGGGUGCUUCCAAACAAGAUAAGAAGACCCUGAGAAGAUUGGCCAGUAGAUUCCUGUUAGAUGGAGAUAUUCUGUACAAGAGAAACUAUGACAUGGUAUUGUUAAGAUGUGUUGAUGAACACGAAGCAGAGCAGUUAAUGCAUGAUGUACAUGACGGUACCUUUGGGACCCAUGCUACAGGGCAUACUAUGUCAAGGAAGUUGUUACGGGCAGGUUACUACUGGAUGGCCAUGGAGCAUGAUUGCUACCAGCACGCCAGAAAGUGCCACAAAUGUCAAAUCUAUGCUGAUAAGAUUCAUGUGCCUCCGCACGCUCUCAAUGUUAUUUCAUCCCCAUGGCCGUUCUCAAUGUGGGGCAUCGACAUGAUUGGAAGAAUUGAACCGAAGGCUUCAAAUGGUCAUCGUUUCAUCUUAGUGGCAAUUGACUACUUCACCAAGUGGGUUGAAGCAGCAUCUUAUACCAAUGUGACCAAGCAAGUGGUAGCUAAGUUCAUCAAGAACAACAUCAUCUGUCGAUAUGGUGUUCCCAGCAAGAUUAUUACCGACAAUGGUACCAACCUGAAUAACAAUGUGGUGCAAGCUCUUUGUGAAGAAUUCAAAAUUGAGCAUCAUAACUCUUCUCCUUAUAGACCUCAGAUGAAUGGUGCAGUUGAGGCCGCCAACAAGAAUAUCAAGAGAAUUGUCCAGAAGAUGGUAACCACUUACAAGGACUGGCAUGAGAUGUUACCCUAUGCUCUGCAUGGCUACCGUACCACUGUGCGCAGUUCAACCGGGGCAACCCCUUUCUCUCUUGUAUAUGGUAUGGAAGCAGUUCUUCCUUUGGAAGUGGAGAUCCCAUCCCUCCGUGUGAUCAUGGAAGCAAAGUUAUCUGAGGCUGAAUGGUGCCAAACCCGGUAUGAUCAGUUGAAUUUGAUUGAGGAAAAACGUAUGGAUGCCAUGGCUCGUGGACAGUCAUAUCAAGCAAGAAUGAAGACCGCUUUUGACAAGAAAGUCCGUCCUCGAGAAUUCAAGGUAGGGGAACUUGUAUUGAAAAGGAGGGUAAGCCAGCAACCCGACCCAAGGGGCAAGUGGACGCCUAACUAUGAAGGUCCUUAUGUUGUCAAGAAGGCCUUCUCCGAUGGUGCUUUAAUCCUUACACACAUGGAUGGUGUAGAACUUCCAAAUCCAGUGAAUGCCGAUAUAGUCAAGAAAUACUUUGCCUAGAAAUAUGAAAAGAACAGCGUGGUAGGUCGAAAACCCGAAAGGGCGGCCUAGGCAAAAAUGCGCUUCCCGGUGGAUCGAAAACCCGAAAGGGCGGUCCAGGCAAAAAUAAGGGACAAAAAAUAUAUAUAUAUAUGAAAAAGCUCGCUGAGAUUGCACGCAACUCAGGCAAGAAUGAGCGUCUCGAUGAAUCGAAAACCCGGAAGGGCGGUUCAUGCAAAAAUGAGAUUGAAACAAAAGGCAAGUAACUAUAUCUGGCCAACCACCGUCCCCCUUGGGGCAUCUGCAGCUGUUAAUGACCGUCUUCAUCAAAAGCUCUUAUGCUCGCGAAUUCAAAGUUUCUGGGAAAUGUCAUGAUUACUGUGUUCAAUGUACCACCAACCAAUAAAAUUACCAUUUUCCAAGCUUUGUAAAUCCGUGGAGUCACGCCUUCGGCUGACCACCACUCUUAUACAUCAAUUUGAGCUUGUGCUUUUGUUUGAAACUCUGCUUUCUUUUUACUUUCAAAGUUAUAUACAAAACAUUUUCUUUCUGUUUUGAUAAUGAUAAUGCUCGAAACAAACAUUUUGAAAAUUGAAAAAGUUUUUUGAAAAGCAAACCUGAGCAACAGGGUACAUUCAAAUGAACAUGCAUGAGCGAGUGUGUGUUGGUGUCUAUUUCAAUAUAUGUUACAAGCAGGUUCUCCUCCAGGAUAGUCUGUGGUCAAUGGCAAGAAUGAAAAAAAAAACAGAAUGAAAAUGCAUGAAAAUGAAUAGGCUCGCUAAGUUGAAAACCCGAAAGGGCGACUUAGGCAAAAAUGAGCAACCCGCUGGAUUGACAACCCGAAAGGGCAGUUCAGGCAAAAAUGGGGCAUUGAAAAGAAUUUAUUUCCCCGGUGGAUCGAAAACCCGAAAGGGCGAUCCAGACAAAAAUGGGAUGCAAAAAAAUGAUGAAUGAAAGUUGAGAAAAUAACAUGCAAAAAAAGCAUUGACCAUAGAUGCGACGCCCACGGUACAGCCGGCAUUAUUCCCAGUAGAGUCUCCCAAGAUUCUAUCCCCAGCAAGUUGCAUAGCUACCUGCCCUCAGCCAUGGUUCCGACACGUCUCCCAACGACGUCAUCACCAAAGAGGAUUUCCAAGAAUGUGUAACAUAGCACGAGCCACUACGUGCCCAAUACUCUGAUGUCUUGUCUUCCCCGUGAAGUCGUGCCUACAAAAUGCCAACAGUCAUGCAUUACAAGCAUUCAUACAUGCAUAAUCAUGCAUAUUACGUGCCCACGCAUUUAAUAAAACUGUUAUGUCAUCUAUGCAUAUUGCAUUUCCAAUGUCAACAUCAGUCUCAAUUCAAUACUCAUGUCAGGUUCUCUAUCAAAACCUUGUGAGCCAUUAGUAUCGGUCGAUUUCUACCUUUCAAAUCAAAUCAACGUCAAGUCAAUUUCAACCUAUAUUUUGUCAAAAAAAAAACUAAUCCCCUGUGAAUUUGUUUCUGUUCGGUCAAGUGCCCAGCUCAAUCCAAGAGCAGCUUGUACCUGUCAAUAUGUUUCUGUUUGGUCAAGUUACCGGUUCGCAUCCAAGAACGACUUGUACCCGUUUACUUUUCAAUGCUGUCGGUCGAGUUACCAGUUCGAAUCCAAGAACAGCUUGUACCCGUCUAUCUGUUUCUAUUCGCUCAAGUGGCUAGCUCGAUCCAAGAGCAGCUUGUACCCGUCUAUCUGUUUCUAUUCGCUCAAGUGGCUAGCUCGAUCCAAGAGCAGCUUGCGCCUGUCUAUUUUGUGUUUGUCUCCGGUGGAGUAACCAGUUCGCAUCCAAGAACAAGCUCGCACCUGUCUAUUUGCCUUGCUUUCAGUCGAGUAACCAGUUCGAAUCCAUAAGAACAACUCGUACUUGCCAAUUUUCUCUUUUUCCCAGUCGAGUCACCAGUUCGAAUCCAUAAGAACAACUCGCACUUUCCAACAUCCCCAAGUGAGUUACCAGUUCGAAUCCAUAAGAACAACUCAUGUUUGUCCAGUAACCUCUAUCCCCUGUGAAGUUACCAGUUCGAAUCCAUAAGAACAACUCGCAGUUGUCUGUUCGUUUCAUUCCUGGUCAAGUGGCUAGUUUAAAUCCAAGAACAGCUUGUACCUGUCCAACUUGUUUCUAGUUCCCCGUUACUCUGCUAUUCAUUAUCUUUGUCAAUGUCUACCAAUCCCGCAAUGGAUACGACAUAUUUUAAUCUCCAUGAGGUCUUGCAUUCAUAAUCCAAAUGGUGCAUGGCAUGCAUAUUAUUUGAAAAUGGGUAGGCGUAUUUUUACGUCCAAACACAGUGCAAAUGCUAAUAUUUAAGUAUCUUCGUCCUGUCAAGCCAAAGACUCCGUCUCUUGACUCUCCAGACAAAGAAACUUAAAUAGGGGCAGCUGUUAUACCCUGUUUUUGGACCUAAAAAUACUAGGCCCAGUUUCAUUUCAAACUUUGUCAAUUAUCAAAUUUCAACUGCACAGUUCAAAUUGUCUCUGCCUCGCAGUAUUUUCAAUCACAAUUUUACCUAUGUUUUUCUUGCAUAAAACUUUUUGAAAUGUCUUUACUUGUCUUGUAAGUCAUUCAAAAGUGUCUCUGAAUCAUUACAUUGCUUUUUCUACAGUUUAUUUCAAAAUUUGCAAAAAGUCGUACAGAAGGGUAUUUUGGUCGUUUCCUGCAGUGGGACCCAUUUUCAUCCCUGUGACUGUCUCUGAGUCUUUUCAGAUUGAUUUUUAACAUUGCAUCAGUAAACCUUGUUAAAUUCAUUUCAAACUUGCAUCUGAGUCAGUGUCAAGUCAAUUUGAAUCUGUUUAGGUCAUUUUAGCCCUAGGGGCAUUUUGGUCAUUUCACACAAAAUUUUAGCAUAGAGAGGUUACUUUGAAGUACCUCAUUUAAACCAUUGGUUCGUUUUAGUCCGUUUUGUCAAUUUUAUUUUUGUUUCGCUUUACGUUUUGUCAGGUUACCAAUUUUAUUUCAAUUUUAUUUUUUAUUUUGCAUUUUGGUCCUCAAAGAGGUCCAAAAUUGCUUUUCAGUCCAGAACUCUUUUUUUUAAAAUUGCAUUUCAGUCCAGAAUUCUUUCUAUUUGCAUUUUUAGUCCUUUUUGUUAUUUCCAUUUUAGUCCUUUAAUUUUUCAAUUUUGCAGAAAAGGGCUCAAAGUGUCAAACUCACGUUUCUUUCAGUUAAAGUCCAGAUGUCACAAUUCUAUUGGUCCAAGAUCACACAUGUCAGCUAUAAAAGGUGUACAGUGCCACACAGACCCAUUAACCACACGCCACUUCACCAAAAAACAGAAUCAAUUUUUCUCUCUCUUGUCAGUUAGAUCAAAACCAAAAUCACAGAGAAAUCAGCAAGAACAAAGAAAAAAUCACGAACCCUAGUUCAGAAAUUCGCCAGAACUCAUCCAAAUUCAACCGUUUUUUCUUGGAUUUUCUCACGGUUCUCAGAGAUUCGCGCGUAAUCAUCAUCAUUGAACCUUUGCUUCUGCAAUUCUAGGCGCGAAUCCGCCAUUGUUGACGGCGGACUCAAGCACCGAUCACAGAGAUCAAAGCGAAGAAGAAGAGGGAAAGAAUCAGAGAUCCAAACCGGUGAAGGAGAUAAAGAAAGCAAACCAGUAGGAAAACAACGGUUCAUUUUCGGAUUCAAGAACAAAAAAUCAACAAACAGCACCAGAAUUCAAGUUUCUCAAAGAUUCCGAUUCGAAAUCUCCGUUUGAAACCGCAGGUAAAAUACGUAAAACUCGCCUUUCUUUCUCAAAAAUAUCCAUAAGCACGAAUCAGUUACAGAUCUGUAAAGUUCCAAAGCUCUCAUUCAACAAAACACUAAAAAGAAUCAAGAAAAAUUUCUCAAAACCGUAACACAAAACCGUAGAUCUACGUUGAUUCACGCCUUGCAUGUAAAAUCCAGUGCCAUAUUCGUGUUUAGGAUAAAAAAGGAUAUCUGAAAACGUAAGUUUUUUUGAAAACGGUGAAGUUCGUUCAACUCCGGCGGCGGCGCCGCCACCCUUGGGCGGCCGGCCACCACGCCGGAGGAACAAGCCUCACCGAGGAAGAUGAAGAUCUUCCAUUUUUUCCAGAAUCCGGUGAGAGGUGAGAGAAGAGAGAAGAGUUUAGAGAGAGAAAGAAGAGUGUAAAAUAAAAAAAACCGGCGCUAAUGUGUUUAUAUAGCCAGUGAACCGGACCGGUCCAGGACCGGUCCAAUCUCCUUCAUUCCUGGCCGUUGGAUCUAGGGUUUCCUACCCUGGAUCAAUCCAACGUCUCCUGUGCAAUCUGAGUUUUGUGUGUUGGGCUUUGGGUUGGGCUUAGGCUUCUUGCGCGCUUUUGCUUAUUUUCCUGCUAUUUGCACCAUGUUUCUUUGCUGUUUGAACCCCUGCAUGCUUAAAUUUUCUCUAAAAAAAAUCUCCAAAAAUUAUCACAUGUUUCUUGAUGUAUUUUCCUUUUUUUUUUUAUAUUUCUCAAUGGUUUUAAAAUGAUAAAAAAAAAAAAAAGCAUGUGAUAUUUCUUGGGUAAUUAGUGUAUUAGACAAAAAUUUGUGCAUUUUUUAGUAGUGUAUUUCUCAUGAAAUGUUGGCAUGUGAUAUGAAUUUUUGGGAAUGCAAUUUUGUGAUAAGUUUGUUGCUGAUUACAUGUUUAAUUUGCUGCUUGUGUAUCUCAAUUUCAUCUCCCUUUUUGUUCUGCAAUUAGUAUGCAUUUUUACUAGUAAAUAAAGUGCCAAAAUAUUUUGAAAGUGUACCAUAAACUUAGCAUCAAAUAUGUCCCAUUUUUUUUCACAUUAGGGCACAAAGCAAGACUUCUAAAAAUGUCAUAAUGAAGGGAUUAUGGGUCAUAUAUAUGCUAGAGCCUUAUGACCAUUUUCAUGCACAUUUUGUCACUUUAUUAGUUUCUUUUAUGUCUUUCCUCUUAAUAUUUUUGUGCACUUCUUUUAUUCUAUGCUUUAUUUUACUAAUCAUCUCACUUCUUUUGUUCCAUUCAUUUCAUGAGCAUUUCUCCAUUUCACCACUAUCUCCUCCACUUUCUUCAGCUUAGCAUUUAUUUUUGCAAAUUUUAAUUCAUUUGGUGAUGUAAUUUGCUAUCAUUGGUAUGUAGCUUGGCAAAGGGGCCAUAGAAUGUAUUUAGGCAAUUUUUGUAAUAUGGACUAUGGACACUAUGGCGCACCGGCACGCACACACUCACCCUAGAUGUAUGCCUAUGAUUGCAUGGUUAGAUGAAUGCUUAGGUUUAAACACUUAGAGAAAAUCCAACUUUUUUCCAAAAAAUAUGCAAACAAAUUCACUUCAAAUAUUUUUUUUCAUAAGAAAUGGAGUCAAAACUCCAAUAAUUUUUCCCUUUUUUUUUUUUAAUCAAAUUCUCAAAUAAACCUAAUCAUUAAGACUUCUUUUGCAAAAUCAUUAAGCAAACCCUCACUUUUUCAUACUCUAAUGCUCAUGAAGCCUCUCAAUCCCCUUCUUCAAAUCAUUUUCAAAAUUUAAAAUCAAACAAUUAAAACAAAAAACCACAAGUCUUUUUAGCAAGAACUACGCCGGUUUUGAUCCCGUAAAACGGUACGUAGGCAAGGGACUUUAAACCCUCCAAGCCGAAAUAAAAUCAAAUUCUACUUCUUCUCACCCCCAUUCUUCACUAAUCACACCUUCUUUUUUUACAAGUAGGCAAUAAAAAAUAAAGCGUAGAAAUCAACUUAGGAGAACGGCUCUUAUGGAAUACCAUAAUCGUUCCGGGUGCCUAACACCUUCCCGUAGCGAAAACGACCCCCGAACUUAGAAUCUAAGGGUUUUUCUCAAUUUUGCCCUUCCCAAGAAAAAAUAGAGAAUAUCAACGGUCAAAAGGUUCAAGUCCAAUUAAUGGCUUGGCACCCAAAAACCAUGAUAACAUAACGACAAUCAAAGUCGUGGUUAGUUUUGUUUUAUGGAUAAUUAACGAGUCGUAACACCUUGUUAUAUUUAUUACCUGAACACAUAUAUAUUUAAAAUGUGUUACCAUCUACUAUAUUAUUUUGAUGUGAAAUUUAUAACAUAACUUACAUGAACAACUGAGUCUCGAGCAGCCAGAGCAAGAAUAUCAGCACAGGACACAACCUUGGGGCAUGCUUUCUCCACACUGGCUUUGAUGUCAUCAAUCACGUUGAAUCCUCUAGCUGAAUUAUUGUUAGCUGCUGCUGUUUUCUCUCCUAUGAAACUGCUUGUAUCAUCCAACAGAAUCGAUGCGUCACAGCCCUUAAUGAUCAUCAUUGGGUUAAAUGAAGCCAAGUUAAGUGAAACAGAAGAUUAAAAUCAAGUCAAUAAUGUAUUUUAUCAUAUCAUAUACACUCACAUUUACAAAGCAGUCAUGGAAAUGCAAUCGAAGUAAAGAAGCUCCUAUUCGAGUUUCUUUUUUAAGAGCAUUUACGACUCCUUGGUUCACUAUAGACAACAGUUCCGGGCAGCUGUUGCAGUAAAAGUCUGUACAUAACUCAUUUUGGCCAUCUGCUUCAGAUAUUUCAGAAGCUGCAAGAAGAACAAUUAAGAGGAAGUAGUAAGCUGCCAUGUAAGAAGCUAUAGAGAACACUAAAAUGAACAAAAUUGGUGACUUCUCUUAAAUAGUACUAGUAAACACAUUAAAAGUUAUUAGGUAUAUUCUAAUCAAUAUCUGUUUGAAUUGCUUUUACGUAAAAGUAAAAUCAUGCAAGUCUUAUCCAAUGAUAAAAUCUGUGUGGUAUAUUAAUCACCAAAAAAAACUUGUGGCAUAUUUCAAUUACCCGACAAAAAAAAAAAAUGUCGCUACUAUUUGUAUGUGUAGCAUUAGUUAUGAAUAUAAUAAUAAACUAAAAGAACAAUUAUUGGCUGGUUGGUUGAAAUGUCAUUUUUAGCAUUUUGUUUUUACCGCUAAAAAGUAGUGCCUAUAACUAAGUUCCUUUUGCAUGGAUUGCUCAAUAGGGGCUGAAUCAAUGUCAUUUUGUGAUAGGAAGGGUCCUAAAAAAUAGAAAUGCGCCAUGUGUGGAUAACAAAUGAAGUGGUCGCUUAGAGCUUGUUUGGCCAGCCUUUUUUAACAACUUCUCAUCUCCCUAAAAGAAAAAGUUAGACCAGACAAUAUUUAAAAAAAAAAGAAGCUUGUUUACAAUUAAUAAAAACCAAAUAAAAAAAUCCUUAUGCAAAAGGUGUUGAGAAUUACUUUCAAAUGAUUUUUAGAGAUUUUUGUUAUAAAGAUCACCCAUCGAUUCCUUUUCAUGCCAUUUUAUUAUUUUGUUUUUUUAAUCCAUCCGUAUCAAAAGGCGAGAUCAUGAGGAAGCAACAUAUCCACGCCAAACCAAUCAACUAGAUCUUGAAGAAGAAACAAAACUAUGUCAAACCAAUUGUGCUCUUGUAAUAAUUUUUGAAUAAUAAAUAAAAUUAAUAAAAAAUUAUACAUUUUUAUGUUUUUUUUUUAUUUUUAAUAAAAAAACUCCUUUAAGAGCUCGUCAUUUCAUAUGGUGUGGCCUUGAAGAGGCCAAAAUAGCUCCUUUAGGAGAAUGCCAUGCUUUCUCUGGGCAAAAAAAAAAGGGUUUUGAAAGUAAGGUAUAUUAGUAUAUUACUUUUAAAAAUAGGUUAUUAGAGAAAAAAAUCAUACAUUUAUUCUACUCACUCACAACCAUUUUUUUUACUCAACAUUUUUCCCAUCUUCUCAUUCUUCUCCCGUUUCUUAGUUUUCUCCUUCAGAUAUGUUUCAGUUCGAUUUGAAAUUUGAGAAUCAUUCAUGGAUUAACAACAUCAAUGAAUUGUUUUUCUCAUGCAUCUCACAAAAUCACUAACUUAACAAUUAAUCAUUUAUUCUGAAUCAAAUUAUAGGGUUAGGGUUUCUCUGCGUUUUGGAAAGAUGUUCAAGAAAAUCAUGAAAGGAGGGCACAUAAAGCCCUCCAAGUCAAACUCCAGCGAUCCACCUUUGUCAAAUAACAACCACAAUUGUCGUCAACCAUGCCUCACAUGGUGGAGUUGGAGGAACCAUUCCUACUAAUUACUCUGCCGCAAUGAUGCCCAUGACUCCACCUCCCGACACAAUGUAGAUGAUAUUGAGUUUACCCAAUGUGAAAGUGUAACCCUAAAAUUGUAACUUUAAAAGGCAUGAAACUUCUUCCACCACAACCGCUUCAUGGACUUUUCUUUUCAUUCCAUCAUAAUCGCUUUUUGACAUUUUCUUUCAUCUCCUUUUCUCUUCUUUCUUGUUUUUUCAUUUCUUCUCGUCGAGUGAGAUCAUGGCAAGAAAAGUCUUCUUUUUAUCCCUUCAAGGAUCAAUCGUAUCCUCACUGUUUAUGUAUCAUUAAGCUUUAUACGACCAAUUUUAGGGUUAAACCUCGAAGUUUUAAAGAAGUGGAUUAGGUAGCUUGCGGAAGACCGAUGAGGUAAGGAAGGACAAAUAACACGGAAAUCUAGUAGCUAUCUUUGAUGUAUUAUGUGAAGCCUCCAUAGACUCUUAAGUCUAUCUUUCUAAGGCGAGGAGCUCCAUGCCUCUGUCCAUGUUCUCUUAAAAGAGUAAAACCUAUCAAAUUUAAUCAUUGUGAUUCUUCUCAAAUAUGACAGAAAAAUGAACAUCUUUAUAAACAAAAGUAAAACAUCAAUUCACAUAUAUGCUUAGACAUGCAUAGUAAUAAAAACAUAUAUCCUAUUUAUUACACAUUUUGACUAAAUAUAGUUUUAAGAGAAUCAUAUAGUAUAGGAUUUUUAUUUUUUUUUUGAAGGGCAUAUAGUAUAGGAUUAUAUCAUGCAACAAUAUUGAAAAGUAAAUAAUUUUUCUCAUCAGGUAGCCUAGUGACUAGAAAUUCACUUUUAAAGUGAAUAAGUGGGGUGCCCAGAGUUCGAUAUAGAAAAUAAAACAAUAACCUAAAAAAUGAAAAUAAAAGCUUGGUACGUACUUACGGUUGUAAACAUUAUUAAUAUAGAAAGAGGUGAACUUAAUUAGUUCGACAAACACUUGAGCUCGUUAUCUUUCUCCAAUAUCGUACACACAACAGAAAGAAGAGGGGGGAUGUGCCGUAAAUAAUAAUAUAUGUAAAACCUAAGCAAACAAUUGAAGAAGAAGACCCACCCUUGAAGAGAAGAUCCAGAGUGGCGAUAAAAAAAGACCCCAACGCGGUGAUUCUGUCAAAGCUUGACCAAAAAGAAACUAAAGGAAAACAUAUAAACUAAAAACAUUAGAGAAUAAAUGUGAAGGAGGGAGAAGAAAAAUGACUCGCGGUGGCUGGAAAAUGGUUUACCGCAGAAGAGGGAAAAGAAAAUGACAAACAAAGUCGUGAAAGAAUAAAGUAUAAGAGGUUGCAAAUAGAGAAAUGUGAAAGAAAUUUUGGGGGAAUAUGAAAUAUGAAUUUCAAACUUGAGUCAGAGCUCAUCCCUUGCAAAAUUGGAAAGUAGAAACAUCUUUAUUCAUUAAAAUGGGUAUACUUUGUGAAGAAAUAUAUGGAAGAAGGACAAAAUAUUCUCCAUGUUUUUUUGUUGAAUGAAAUUUGUGUGUUGGGCUUU
rnacentral:lncRNA from 1 species